rnacentral:lncRNA from 15 species
CUGUCUGGUUUCCGUGGCAACAACACACAGGUUGGAUGUGCAGCGCGAGUGCUCUCUGGUCCUCAGAUAGAGGUGUUUAUGAUGAUUCCUGAGGUCAAACAGUCGUCUGCUGAUGGUGAGAAACACUUCCAAACAUACACAUUCAGAGACUGAUCAAUACUUUAGAGCUCAUGUCUUUUUUGGUUUUCAGGUUUCAGGAAUCUGGGUCUGAUCACAUUUAUUUCAAUUUCAUUUUCAUCAUUGUGUUGUUCAUGGUAGUGGCCUUUGUUUGUGUUUGUGUUGCAGUCAUCACAUUCCUGCUCAAAAGAAAACAUCAGGCCCUUUGCUGUGUGUCAUCCCCUCUCUCUCACUCUCUCUCUCUCUCUCUCUCUCUCUCUCUCUCUCUCUCUCUCUCUCUCUCUCUCUCUCUCUCCCUGCCUUUUCCUAUCUAAGAAUAAAGGCAACAAGUUCAAGAUCAGAUGAACCAAUGUCUUUUAAACUGCUGUACUGCAUUUCCCAGUUGGUAAUGACUGACUGAGAGCUUUUCAGAUAAUAACUAAUAAUACCAAUAAUCAUUGAUAAAUGUUUGUUCAACACUGACUUUUCUUCAGAUGAAGAAGAUUUAUACUUUAUUGUUCAGUCUCACUUUGAGGAGACUUCCGUGAUAUGACAACUGUAUGACUGUAACUGUGCUGGCUGUGCGUUUAAUACUGUUUUGCAUCAGUGUGCUAAUCCCUGUCAAACACUGGGAAUAUUAACCUGUGCAGGAUUUUCAUGGAGGUCCUUCAUGAUUUCUGUGAUCUACUCUCUUAGUUUUUUAAUAAUUUAUUAUUUAUAUAUUUAUUUAUUUUUGUUCACUUCAUUAAAACAUGACGUCUUAAUGUUGUGAUUUCACUUGUGUUCAAUGUCCUUGUUGUCCUUGAUUAUAUCUAAAAUAAUUAAGGCUUCUCACAGCAGAACAAUAACAACAACUGAAUCACACCUGCUGUAAAAACUGG